UGGGUGAUCUGCCCUGCACUUCGGGAUAAGCCUGGGAAACUGGGUCUAAUACCGGAUAUGACCUUGGGAUGCAUGUCCUUUGGUGGAAAGCUUUUGCGGUGUGGGAUGGGCCCGCGGCCUAUCAGCUUGUUGGUGGGGUUAAGCCUACCAAGGCGACGACGGGUAGCCGGCCUGAGAGGGUGACCGGCCACACUGGGACUGAGAUACGGCCCAGACCUCCGUACGGGAGGCA
rnacentral:rRNA from 1 species